UACAGAGGGUGCGAGCGUUGUCCGGAAUCACUGGGCGUAAAGGGCGCGUAGGCGGCCUGAUAAGUAGGGGGUGAAAUCCUGUGGCUUAACUGCAGGGCUGCCUCCUAGACUGUUAGGCUCGAGCACGGUAGAGGCAGAUGGAAUUCCCGGUGUAGCGGUGGAAUGCGUAGAGAUCGGGAAGAACAUCGGUGGCGAAGGCGGUCUGCUGGGCCGUUGCUGACGCUGAGACGCGAAAGCGUGGGGAGCGAACAGG
rnacentral:rRNA from 1 species